rnacentral:lncRNA from 1 species
UCCCAUUGAUGACUAUUGAUUACAUUGCAUUAAAUUUCAUAACAUUUGAGCUUGUGUCAUAGAGUACAAGAGAUAUUCAUCACAAUUAAAUACAAGUACAACAUAACCAAAUUCUGAUAGUUAUUAGUAAAGAUAAAAGUCAGUCGUCCUCUAAAGCAAGUUAGAUUGACAAAGAGAAGUAUCCUUACAUAGAAGCACGUGCUGAAUACCUCCUCCUCGUGAAUUAUGCCUCAUCUUGAUGAAAGCCUUUGGUAUAAAUCAUCAGCCAAUGUCUGCCUCAAGCUUUCCCCAAAAUAGUAAUAAGACUUCUCAUUUUCCAAUAUUCUGGGAGCCGGUGAAUUCUCUUCUGGCCUUAAUCUAUUCAUCAAGAGAUGAGAGAAAUAGAAGAAAAUUAUAAAAUUCAAAAGCAAAAUUCUUUAGUUGCAGUAAAUAUUUGUGGUACCAGCAAAUGGUAUGGAUUCUAACAGAAUUUUGAUAAUUGCUAGUAGGGAAGUUAACAUAAUGUAGUUGGCUAGUAGGGAAGUUACCAUUACAGCUAGCUUGGUAUUACCAAACAAUGGUGUAAGAUUGAUCAUCAUCAAUUUAUUUACAAUUGAUUUUUUUUCAUAACAUGAGCUGGAAUCAAGAACAACAUGAGCUACUAUUAGGGCUACUAAUUCAAGAACAACAUGAGCUGGAAUCAAAGCCGAAGUGAAUAUAGAAAAAAAUAAUUAUGAUACUAAAUUGUUGGACGUUAGAGGAAGAGAUAAAGAGGGAGAGAAAGAGGAGUUGUUUCAAACGAAUAACACAGUGGAAGCAUCAUAAGGUGUUAGUGAAUCAAAUAAUUGUUGGAAGUUUAAACCCAUUAGUCGAAGAAUACUAUUCCAAUGAAGAAGUUACAAGUAUGCUACACAAUCAAUGGUCACCAACAUCAGCCAAUGGUCACCAACACAGUACUACUCAUUUUGAAGUAUAAUGGCACAAACUCAAAAAGUUCAAGAAUAAAAAGCAAAAGGAAAAACAUUCGGGAGAUAUCAUGUAUGAAAGUGUUGGCUAUAACACAAAAAAUAGCAUAUCACAAAUACUAUCAUUGAUCAAAUCAGAUGAAAAAACAGAAUUUAUUGCAUUAUUAUUCAAAAGUAAAACAUACAAGAAGCCUAGAAAAAGCCUUUUUUUUCAUAAAAACAUAAUAAUUAGGUAUUUAAAUCUCACUUUGAUAGUAUCAUAAUAGUUCCAUCCAACAUCCAAGCCUCAGAACC